UGGAAGUACAUCGGGUUGUUGAUAGAU
rnacentral:piRNA from 1 species